rnacentral:lncRNA from 1 species
UGACAGUCAAGAAGAAUUCUAGAGCAGCGUUAACUGAAGAUAGGUUUCCUCAAUCGAGGAGAGCAGAACUCAGAAGGAAUGUGGCAGCCUCAAAGCAACACCGCCCUGAAUCUAGAACACCAGACUUGUUGCAUCUGUACAAUUGUUCAUUAUGUUUGUGGACCUAAUGAGAAUACAUACAUUUAACUAGGGGCCAUAGACCCUAUAAUCCCUGGAAUAAUUGAAACAUAAAUCUAAUUAGGAACUUCUGUUAGUUUUACUGUUACACAUUUAUACAUUUAUUGUAAAAAUACAUUACUUCACGAAAAUAAACUCAUAACAUUUGGAA